AUUAUGCCAAUCUGGCCAACAGGAAGCUAAUUUCUAUUCUGUAUUUUGUCAGAUGUGCAGAAUACAUAUGGUCAUCAUUGAAAAUAGGUGAAAGAUCUGCUCUAAUAUGGACACUAAGUGGUGCUGGAGGAUGAUCCUGACCCACAAUGAGCAGUGGGAACACCAGAGCCCUGUAGGGAUGGCUGGCAAGCUAACACAUUGAGCAUGCACAGCUCAGUAAAUUUCCUGUGAAUACACAUCUCCUGAGAUCUCUCUAUUUAAUUGGAGGUGAUCCUGUCCACCUAAUACAGCACAUCAUGUGGAAUAACAAAAGCUACCUGCAGGAGCUGUGGUGAUGACUCACAGGAUAGAGCAUCUGCUGCUCUCUCAGAAGAACCACAUGGACCAUAACAAUUGGGUGCUUCCUACACAAGAAGUCACAUGACCACAGAGUGUCAUUUGUCAAACAACCAAGAACUUGUUCAAAACUCUACAGAGCAUCCAAUCUAUCAUGUGGAUAUGCAAUAAUGAGAUGAUGCUGGGUCUGGACGUUGCUGGUCUUUAUCUUUCUUGUUGAAGUCAACCAAAUAUUUCUGGUUGAGUGCACAAUCAAGAUGUACCUCCUUGCUCUCCUGCUUCAGUGGGACCAACUUCUUCCUGCAUGUGUUCUCCAUCAGGAGCUGGCUGAGCAGGUUUCUGGAAAUACAGUCUGC
ensembl:lncRNA